AAGGAAGGCUGCUGGUUCACUUUCAAGGUGGAGAACAAUGGGCAAAAUCCUGGUUGGAUAUUACACUCCCUGCCUCAUGCUUCCUUGCAUUCAUUCUGAAGAAGUCUUACUGGAUCUCUCCCAUUAGUGACUUUCCCCAAAGCCGCUGCCAGCCGACACUGAAAACCCAAGAAGAAGUGAUCACUGCAAUGAGUCUAUGAGCAUCAGAAAGCCAACUUGGGGCAUGGCUGUGGAUAAAGUAACAGAGCCAUAUCUCCUGAAAAUACUGGCACUCUUCUCACUGAGAAUGUGGCGAUGGGGAGUUGGUGGCAUCGACCCAGCCUGUCAACAUUUCCUAGCUGAAUCCAUGCCCAGGAGAGCAGAAGAUGUUUGUGGCAUUUCAAAGCACUAUCCACUGACAGGAUCCAUGAGCACAAGAUAAAGUCAAGGAAUCCACUCAGGAUGCGGUUUGUUUGACACUCACCUGACCAUCGUUCUCAGGAACCAAGGCCUGUUGAUGAUGGAAGGCACUGCCUCGUCCAUGAGUGGAUGUGUCUUAAUGAAGUUCAGGGUAUCAUCAGGAAACUCAUUGGAGGUUGCAUAUUUUUCUAAAGAGGAUGAUCCCGCACAACAGCCUGGCCUAAAAGGAAACAAGGGGUGGAGGGGGAAGAGUUAUUUCAUGCCUUCUGGCAAAUUCUUUGAAUGAACUGCGUCUCUGAGCAUCUGGCAUGAAGGAGACUGGAUACCACAGGCACAAGAUAAGGAUGUUGAACAAUGCAGAAUGCCACCAAGUACAACAUGCUGAGAUUUCCUCUGGACCGCCUCCUCAUUCCGUGAGGGAGCCUUAGCCAGCAAAGCUCAGUUUCAUCUCUAGGAAAAUUGGCCUCCUUCCAGAUGCACAAACAAACCCCAGUGAACAGAGAUGGAACUGGAAAUGAGAUUGUGUGGGGACAUGUCUCUCAGGGAUGCGUUACUAUCUGUCAACUUAACACGAACCUAGUCAUACCUGGGAAAAAAAGAACCUCAACUGAGACAUUGCCUCCAACACACAGGCCGGUGGGCUGGUCUGUGAGCCAUGUUCUUAACUGGUAAUUGAUGUAAGAAGGCUCUGCCCACUGUGGGUAUUACUAUCUCCCUGAAAGGGAGCCUGGGCUGUACAAGAAAGGUGGCUGAUCAAUCUAGGAAGGACACUAGAGGAGGCAAGCCAGGAAUCAGUGUGCCUUGUGGUUUCUGGGUCAAGUUUCCACCUUAGCGUCUCUUGAUGAUAGACUGUACCAAAUUCUCUGUAAGUUGUUUUUUGUCUUGGUGUUUAUCACAACAACAGAAAGCAAACUGGGAUAUAUUGUUAGAGGUUUGAGAGCAGUGGUCCUCAACCUUCCUAAUGCUGUGACCGUUUAAUGCAGUUCCUUAUGUUAUUGUGAACCUCCCCCAACAUAAAAUUAUUUUGUUACUACUUCAUAAUUGUAAUUUUGCUACUGUUAUGAAUCUUAAUAUAAACGUCUGUGUUUUCUGA